rnacentral:lncRNA from 1 species
CUCAGCAAAAGCAACAUUGACAUCUCCAGUGGGUUGGAGGAUGAGGAGCCCAAGAGGCCGUUGCCGCGGAAACAGAGCGACUCCUCCACCUAUGACUGCGAGGCCAUCACCCAGCACCAUGCCUUCCUCUCAAGCAUCCACUCCAGCGUGCUAAAGGAUGAGUCUGAGACCCCGGCGGCUGGGGGGCCGCAGCUCCCUGAGGUCAGCCUGGGCCGCUUUGACUUCGAUGUGUCCGACUUCUUCCUCUUCGGCUCGCCACUGGGCCUGGUCCUGGCCAUGCGGAGGACGGUGCUGCCUGGGCUGGACGGGCGAAGGUGAGGCAGCUUCAGAUGGAUUUCACUCUCCAUGUCAAGUGCCC